rnacentral:misc_RNA from 1 species
AAGUCGUAACAAGGUUUCCGUAGGUGAACCUGCGGAAGGAUCAUUAACCGUUACAAACAGUGUGUGCUGCGGCCCCCGAGGUGAGGCAACGAGCCUUCGGGAGGUCUGGGGUCCGCCCCUUCACGCGCACGCGUCUGCCAUCCUUACUUUACGAGCACCUUCUGUUCUCCCUCGGCAUGCGUCCUGCGCUGCCGUUGGAAUUACAAAACUCUUUUUUGCAUCUAGCAUUACCUGUUCCGACAAUAACAAUCGUUACAACUUUCAACAAUGGAUCUCUUGGCUCUG